AGCAACUUGGCGCAGGGGUUAGCGCGCGGGGCCCAUAACACACCGGCCCAAAUCGGUCCGGUCACCCCGAGGUCCCUGGAUCGAAACCAGGAGUUGCUA